rnacentral:siRNA from 1 species
GCAGCACCAUUAAGAUUC